rnacentral:rRNA from 1 species
GACGAACGCUGGCGGCGUGCUUAACACAUGCAAGUCGAGCGGAAAGGCCCUUUUGGGGGUACUCGAGCGGCGAACGGGUGAGUAACACGUGAGUAAUCUGCCCUGCACUUCGGGAUAGCUUCGGGAAACCGAGAUUAAUACCGGAUAGGACCUGGCUCCGCAUGGGGUUGGGUGGAAGGCUUUGGUGGUGUGGGAUGUGCUCGCGGCCUAUCAGCUUGAUGGUGGGGUAGUGGCCUACCAUGGCUUUGACGGGUAGCCGGCCUGAGAGGGUGACCGGCCACACUGGGACCGAGACACGGCCCAGACUCCUACGGGAGGCAGCAGUGGGGAAUAUUGGACAAUGGGCGGAAGCCUGAUCCAGCAACGCCGCGUGAGGGAUGACGGCCUUCGGGUUGUAAACCUCUUUCAGCACAGACGAAGCUCUUUGGGGUGACGGUAUGUGCAGAAGAAGCACCGGCCAACUACGUGCCAGCCGCCGCCGUAA